rnacentral:lncRNA from 1 species
CGCAGCUGUCAAAAGCGAAUUGGAUCCCGCGUGUGCUCUUGCCAACAUGAAAUCUAGCAUGAAGAUCUCCGUGUGCUUUUUUGUAACCAUUUUCGGCCUGCAGAUUAGCGCCAAUGAACUGCCCGAGAUCUGCACAAGUCCACGCAUGCUGCCAACGUGCACAGGUAACCUCUUUAGGGUCUAUUACUACGAUUCGGAGACUGAACAGUGCCUACCUGAAGAUACUUGCGUUGCUGGAGACAGCUUCAAGACAUUAAGAGAGUGCCAAGAAACAUGUGUCAAAAAAAAAGGAAAGAAUGUCCCUGUUGUCAAAGCAAUGCCGUUGUUUCUACAUAAGAACUUUCAUGCCAAACCUCCAAGCUAUGAAGGUUUCUACACGCAUCCAUACAUAAACCCCUAUAUAUCAUGGCCGGCCCCUGUAAGGUAUCCGUUCUUCUAUUGAGCAGUCUUUACCGCAUCAAAAGACCACAUAUAAGGUUUUAUCGCUGUGGGUGCUAUUAUUCUACGGAUAUAUUCGCAUCCUGCAUAUCCCGACAGAAUCAAUAAAACUUUUUUGAACACCUGCAUAAAGACUGGAUUCGGCGAGCGCAGGAAUAUUUAAUUUGCGUUUUAAGUAUAUCACAUCUCUUUAGUGACUUUUGUUAAGGGCGCUGCCAUUACCCCGACCGUGACCGGCUUGGAGAAACUAUCAAACCACGUACUGCAGCUCCAAUUAUGACACAUUAAAAUUUAGUCUUAUUUUUUU